AAAUUUAUGGACAGGAGUUAUUCCAAACCCCUAAUUUCUGAGAAAUAUUGGAAAAUGCGAUGAAGCUGUAAAGUAUGAAGGAUGAGGGAGAAGGAGGUUGACAUGACAGAAGCAUGUGGUGUGUGAGUAGGAGAAAGUCGCUGGUUGCUGAAGGAAUCUCGGCUGCAGAAAAUCAAGAAGCGACAAAACUAAAGAUUCCCGCCAAA
rnacentral:sRNA from 1 species